UCACCUUUCUUGGACCUAUUAUAUUUUGGUUUCCCUUCUCCAUCUUAUUAGUAUAUAUUUCUUAUUUUCCCUCUUCCUUAUUUAUUUCAUUUUCAAAUCUCAUCCAUUCUUCAUUAUUUUCUUCUCUUAUCCCCAUCAAACACUUUAUCUGAAAUGCUUCAUAGUAUUCUUGAAUUUUUGGGAUUCCCCCGCCCAAAUAUUUCUUUGUUAUAUACAGCAUUUUGUUCAUUACUCUUGAAUUCUUCUUAUAACUCUUG